GACGAACGCUGGCGGCGUGCCUAAUACAUGCAAGUAGAACGCUGAAGGAGGAGCUUGCUUCUCUGGAUGAGUUGCGAACGGGUGAGUAACGCGUAGGUAACCUGCCUGGUAGCGGGGGAUAACUAUUGGAAACGAUAGCUAAUACCGCAUAAUAGUAGAUGUUGCAUGACAUUUGCUUGAAAGGUGCAAUUGCAUCACUACCAGAUGGACCUGCGUUGUAUUAGCUAGUUGGUGGGGUAACGGCUCACCAAGGCGACGAUACAUAGCCGACCUGAGAGGGGGAUCUGCCACACUGGGACUGAGACACGGCCCAGACGCCUACGGGAGGCAGCAGUAGGGAAUCCUCGGCAAUGGACGGAAGUCUGACCGAGCAACGCCGCGUGAGUGAAGAAGGUUUUCGGAUCGUAAAGCUCUGUUGUAAGGGAAGAACGAGUGUGAGAGUGGAAAGGUCACACUGUGACGGUAACUUACCAGAAAGGGACGGCUAACUACGUG
rnacentral:rRNA from 1 species